rfam:Schistosoma mansoni, Puerto Rico, WGS project CABG01000000 data, contig: 0236
AUCCGGAUGACGAGUCUCAAAUAGAACGAAUCGCUCGUCCUGGAU